GACGAACGCUGGCGGCGUGCUUAACACAUGCAAGUCGAACGGAAAGGCCCUGCUUUUGUGGGGUGCUCGAGUGGCGAACGGGUGAGUAGCACGUGAGUAACCUGCCCUUGACUUUGGGAUAACUUCAGGAAACUGGGGCUAAUACCGGAUAGGAGCUCCUGCUGCAUGGUGGGGGUUGGAAAGUUUCGGCGGUUGGGGAUGGACUCGCGGCUUAUCAGCUUGUUGGUGGGGUAGUGGCUUACCAAGGCUUUGACGGGUAGCCGGCAUGAGAGGGUGAACGGCCACAUUGGGACGGAGAUACGGACCAGACUGCUACGGGAGGCAGCAGUGGGGAAUAUUGCACAAUGGGCGGAAGCCUGAUGCAGCAACGCCGCGUGCGGGAUGACGGCCUUCGGGUUGUAAACCGCUUUCGCCUGUGACGAAGCGUGAGUGACGGUAAUGGGUAAAGAAGCACCGGCUAACUACGUG
rnacentral:rRNA from 1 species